CGCAUCUGUGCAUGCAGCAUAUCAAUAAGCGGAGGAAAAGCGCAUUAAAGAUCCAGAUACCUACGCUUAGGAUGUUGACGCGCGUGUGUGCGUGAGUCUAUACAUGACUCUGCGCAUAUCAAUAAGCGGAGGAAAAGAAACUAACAAGGAUUCCCUAGUAACGGCGAGUGAAGCGGGAAGAGCUCAAAUUUGAAAUCUUCAAGGUUUUACCUUGACGAAUUGUAGUUUAAAGAAGUGUUUUCUGUUGAAGUUUUGGUAGAAGUUCUUUGGAAUAGGACAUCAUAGAGGGUGAGAAUCCCGUAUUUGACCAUUAUUUUCAGCUGUGUGAUACACUUUCAAAGAGUCGGAUUGUUUGGGAAUGCAGUCCAAAAUGGGUGGUAAAUUUCAUCUAAAGCUAAAUAUUGGCGAGAGACCGAUAGCGAACAAGUACCGUGAGGGAAAGAUGAAAAGAACUUUGAAAAGAGAGUUAAACAGUACGUGAAAUUGUCAAAAGGGAAGCGUUUGACACCAGUGUUGUUUUCUCGAAAAUCAAUUAAAAAGAGUUUGAUUUUGUUGUGUAUUGACCUUAACAGCUUGCAUUUCAAUUUUCUUGCUUUUUUUAAUGCACUUUUCGUUUAACAAGUCAACAUCAGUUUCUUUUGUUGUAAAAAGGUCAUUGGAAGGUGGCUUUCUUUUCGGAGAAAGUGUUUAUAGCCUUUGACUCCUGCAAUCGGAGAGACUGAGGUCUGCAGCGUAGAUCCUUCGGGGUUAGAUACAUUUGUGCUAAGUUAUAGCUUUUUAUAGACAACUUGUUGACUAUGAUUAGUCUUGUAGCUUACUCGCUUAUGCUAUUUUACCUACGCUUAGGAUGUUGACGCGCGUGUGUGCGUGAGUCUGUACAUGACUCUGUGCAUAUCAAUAAGCGGAGGAAAAGGAGUAUACCUACGCUUAGGAUGUUGACGCGCGUGUGUGCGUG
rnacentral:rRNA from 1 species